AUCCUUGAACAGAAAUCAGUGGAAGAGACGAGAGAGCAAACCACAGUAAAUUAGUGGCAUGUGGGAAGUUUACCAAAACUAUAAAAUAAAAUAAAAACGUGCUGGGCUGUAAACUCUGUAACAUUCUUACACCACACAUCGCUGAGCAAAGAGGAAAUUGACAACGCGAAUGCAGAGGAUAAAGCCGGUUCUGGGAGGUUCAAGUCUUUUGGCUGCGUCUCUGUGUGCCGCAUUAGAGAGAAGGAGCCGUUGUCUUGACAGCCCGUCACUGUGGCGACCGAGCACAUUCCAGAAUCAGCUCGGAGGUCAGGAGAAUAAGCAUGGAAAAAUAAAGAUAUGA
rnacentral:lncRNA from 1 species